CAACAUCUUAUACGCAUAUCGUUCUUCUAUUCGGUUUGUCUCUUUGGAAUAACAUAGCUGUAUGUUUAAUCUUCAUAACCUCAGACCGUCAGCUGUUAAAUACAAACAAUGUAGGAGUUACAACAGUUAGUUACCGUUUAGCACUUGUAAACAGUGGACAUUCGUGUAAGACGAUCUGGGUAAAACGUAGGAAUAGACUAUGGGUAAAUCAAAGAAUUUACUUGAAAACGAAAGGGAAGAAAUCGUAAGGCUGCGAACGCAAAGUAAAACCUUCACCGAAAUGGCAAAUAUAGUAAACAGGCAUGUAUUGCGAUUAACCGAGAAACGGAACACCAUGGAAAACAACGCCGAAGAUGGAUCGCCGGAUUCAUCGAUUGAGCGAAAAGGAUCGUUUUCGUAGUAAAAAUAAUAUUGCUGCAGAGAUAAACUAUAAAAACGAUACACAAAUUAGUGCUAAAACUGUUAGGAGAAGAUUAAAAGACUUUUACUUAAGAGGACGAAAAUCCCAAAAGAAACCACUACCGAGUUCCAGGAAUUGAAAAAGGCGACUUGCAUUUGCUAAAGCUCAUAAGCAUUGGACAAGUGAAGAUUGGUAAAAGAUAUUGUUUUCAAUAUUUUAUAAUUAAUUUAACUAUCAAUUAUCAAACAGGAAUUGAUCAACAAUAUUUAAUGAAAUAGGAGUAUAAUUUCAAAGGGAAUCUGAAUUGCACAGUAUUUAUUCCCAAAUUUAGCAUGCAUAGGUAAGCAUAAAGUAUAAGCGUAUAGGACUAAAUAAUUUUUGUAUGAUCAAUUAUUAUACUUUACUUAUUUAUUAUAUUAUACUGUAUAAACUACAUACUUCUAUAAAUUUGUAUUAUUUUACGCAACGGCAAAUUAUUUGUUCUACCAACAAUUCACGUAUUUUGUAAAAAAAUUAAUUGAUAUUAAAUAUAUGUUUAUUAUAUUUAAAACAAUAAAUAAUAAAAUUUUGCC
rnacentral:misc_RNA from 1 species